rnacentral:rRNA from 1 species
ACGUGGUAUCCUGUCUGAAUAUGGGGGGACCAUCCUCCAAGGCUAAAUACUCCUGACUGACCGAUAGUGAACCAGUACCGUGAGGGAAAGGCGAAAAGAACCCCGGCGAGGGGAGUGAAAAAGAACCUGAAACCGUGUACGUACAAGCAGUGGGAGCCCCACCACCAAAGCAUUCUCUGGUGUUGAAGGCCCUGCAAAGCAGCAUCGCGGUGGCGGAGCGUCGUUUGCGACGCCCAACACACAAAACAAGCGGUGAGUGCUUUGGGGUGGGGUGACUGCGUACCUUUUGUAUAAUGGGUCAGCGACUUAUAUUCUGUAGCAAGGUUAACCGAAUAGGGGAGCCGGAGGGAAACCGAGUCUUAAUUGGGCGUUAAGUUGCAGGGUAUAGACCCGAAACCCGGUGAUCUAGCCAUGGGCAGGUUGAAGGUUGGGUAACACUAACUGGAGGACCGAACCGACUAAUGUUGAAAAAUUAGCGGAUGACCUGUGGCUGGGGGUGAAAGGCCAAUCAAACCGGGAGAUAGCUGGUUCUCCCCGAAAGCUAUUUAGGUAGCGCCUCGUGAAUUCAUCUCCGGGGGUAGAGCACUGUUUCGGCUAGGGGGCCAUCCCGGCUUACCAACCCGAUGCAAACUGCGAAUACCGGAGAAUGUUAUCACGGGAGACACACGGCGGGUGCUAACGUCCGUCGUGAAGAGGGAAACAACCCAGACCGCCAGCUAAGGUCCCAAAGUCAUGGUUAAGUGGGAAACGAUGUGGGAAGGCCCAGACAGCCAGGAUGUUGGCUUAGAAGCAGCCAUCAUUUAAAGAAAGCGUAAUAGCUCACUGGUCGAGUCGGCCUGCGCGGAAGAUGUAACGGGGCUAAACCAU